GUCCCAAGGGAAAUUGUUGGCCCUGUCCGCGACCCAUUGUCCACGCGAAGCGAGGAAUUCUCCUCACUGGCCAAAACAACCAUGAGCUUGUUGGACGAGGCAACGCUUCAGUUGGAGCUCAUCGAUUUCCAGUCAAGCUCCCUCCUCCGUGAUGCGUUUAGUGCGCAUUCCGUGGAGGAUUUCUGGAUCGGAUGCUCAGAAGAGUACAUGGGUAUCAAGAAACUUGCCCUUUAUGUGCUGACGAUGUUUCCAUCUACCUACACGUGUGAGUCAAGCUUUUCGUCAAUGAAUGCAAUCAAGACACACGAGAGGAACCGUCUGACCAAUGCAAGCUUGGAGAACUGCUUGAGGAUAAAAGUGACAUCCCUGUCGCCCGACAUCCACAAAAUUGUGACCGAAGGGAGGAGCCACUUUUCCCAUUAAGAGCAGCGCAGAUCCUUCUCCCACGCGGACAAUGUGCAUUCAUCUUUCACUUUCUUUAAGUUUUAUUUUAAUUGGGCCAUUUCACAUUUGAGCAGACCUUGUUAU